rnacentral:rRNA from 1 species
GGAGGCACACAACCAGUGGAACAUGUGGUUUAAUUCGAAACGAACCGAAGAACCUCACCAGGACUUGACAUGCUAUCGUACAUUUCGCUAGAAAUAGUGAGAAAUCCGCAAGGAUGAUAGCACAGGUGCUGCAUGGCCGUCGUCAGCUCGUUCCGUGAGGAGUACCCUUAAGUGGGACAACGAGCGCAACCCCCACUCCGUGUUAAAUCUGUCACAGAGGACGGUCCCGACAUUGUCGGGAAGGAAGGAGGGGUAGACGUCAGGUCAGCAUGGUCCUUAUGUCCUGGGCUACACACAUGUUACAAUGAAGAGAAACAAUAGGUUGCUAACUUGUAAAAGGGAGCCAAUCCUACAAACCUCUUCUUAAGUGGGGAUUGAAGUCUGCAACUCGACUUCAUGAACGCGGAAUUGGUAGUAAUCGUGGGUCAGCUAUACCACGGUGAAUACGUUCUUGCCUCUU